UACGGAGGGAGCGAGCGUUGUUCGGAAUUAUUGGGCGUAAAGGGCAUGUAGGCGGUUUUGUAAGUCGGAUGUGAAAUCCCACUCCUCAAUAGUGGAAUUGCAUUCGAAACUGCAAAGCUCGAGUGCAGGGGAAGAGAACGGAAUUCUCGGUGUAGCGGUGAAAUGCGUAGAUAUCGAGAAGAACACCAGUGGCGAAGGCGGUUCUCUAUUCUGACACUGACGCUGAGGUGCGAAAGCCAGGGGAGCGAAUGGG
rnacentral:rRNA from 1 species